CCUACGGGAGGCAGCAGUGGGGAAUAUUGGGCAAUGGAGGAAACUCUGACCCAGCAACGCCGCGUGAAUGAUGAAGGUCUUCGGAUUGUAAAGUUCUUUUCUAAGGGAAGAAGAAGGUGACGGAACCUUAGGAAUAAGCCUCGGCUAACUACGUGCCAGCAGACGCGGUGAUACGUAGGAGGCGAGCGUUAUCCGGAAUGACUGGUCGGAAAGGGGGCGUAGGUGGUUUGGCAAGUUAGUAGCGAAACUCCAUGGGUCAACCUUAGAACUACUACUAAAACUGUUGGACUUGAGUGCAGGAGGGGCAACCGGAAUUACUAGUGUAGCGGUAGAAUGCGUAGAUAUAAGGAGGAACACCAGUGGCGAAGGCGGGUUGCUAGACUGUAACUGACACUGAGGCACGAAAGCGUGGGGAGCAAACAGGAUUAGAUACCCGAGUAGUC
rnacentral:rRNA from 1 species